rnacentral:lncRNA from 1 species
AAAAUCUGUACAAAGUGCUGAGAAGCUUUGAUUGACAGCUUAAAAGUUUGGAAUUGCUUCACCUGUAUCUGUCCAGUCAGCAGGUGUGCUUCUGGUUUGACACCUGGCAUUUGAAAUCAGUCUUCUAUUUAGAAAGACCAUUUAAAAGAAACCUAGAGAUAUUCUGGGGGCAAGGUUCAUCUACCUUAACAUUUCACCAGAUAAACAAGGUUCCAAAGGACUACAAGUAAGUGACAUUUCAUUUUACAUAUUUUUUUCACCAAUCACUUGUUAAAUGAUUUGGACAGUUUCCAGACAUGUUAGUUUUAUAAUAUCAAAUUCGGAAAAAGGUGUAUGACCUUUGGUUUAUUCCGUAUAGACAUAAGUGGAUGUUUUAGGUAAAUAAAGUCUAAAUAGUUAUUCUCUAUUUUUUAAUU